ensembl:lincRNA
ACUAGAUUCUAUUGGUUUUCCAGGUAUGCUGUCAUGCCAGUUUGCUACACUGCACCAUAAGACUACAGUGGUGGUGAUAGCCCCUGGGGUAGUGAAACACAAUGGUCCUCUGUGUUCAUGUCACCUGGAGGAGAGCAGGAGGAAGAAAACCAUCCCUAGCAUCACGUGGCAGCACGGCACUGGAAAGGCCCUACAGGCCAUCGGGUUCAUACUGCAGCUCUGCUGGUCCGAUCAGUUGGAUCUAGAACUCCAAGGAGGGCUUGACCUGGAGGGUCUAGGUGAGUUACAGAAUCAGGGGACCAACUGAAGCAUUUUGAGCCAAACAGUCCCAGGUGAAUCUGUUCAGUGUGCAACUUCCUAUCUUCAAGGUGCUUAUGUGUAUACUUACUUGUGUGCGUGUGCCCAAGUGAACACACACAUAACACACACAGUGGCAUGCAAGAAAAGACUGGAGAACAAGAAAGCCUGUGUUUUUGUGUCUUGUCUAUUACCUACUAGCUCUGUGCUCUAGAUUGCAAGAUAACUGCCUGUUGCCCUCUGGAUGCCCGUCCCACCCCUUCUCUAGCCCCUUCUGCCCCAGGUGGCUGAACUUUAUGACUCCAUCAGAGGCUUUCCUGGCUUUCUGGUUUCCUCUUGGGUUUGGUAAGGGCUGAGCCCCAGCAGGAGCUUAGAGGGAGAGUUAUCACGAACUCAGAUCUCUUUCCUAGAGGUCACUUUGGGCUGACUUUGUCUUUCAACUUAGGGUCAUAACUCCUGUCAAGUAGAGCCCCCUAUAUGACUCCCUCUGCUGUUUCCCUUGCCCUGACCCCCAUAGGCCCUCCCCAUUAAAAAAAAAAUCUAAGUAUAAUUAACAUGUAGUGUUAUGGGAGCCUCAGACAUAUAAUGAAAUGAUUGAGUAGUUCUGUGCAUUUCUCAGCGCUCAUCAGGGUAAGUGUAC